UGUUGUGGGAAGAACAGCAAUAGGAAAUGAUUUUAGUUUGCGGUACCAUACCAGAAAGGGACGGCUAAAUACGUGCCAGCAGCCGCGGUAAUACGUAUCCCGAGCGUUAUCCGGAUUUAUUGGGCGUAAAGCGAGCGCAGACGGUNUAUUAAGUCUGAUGUGAAAGCCCGGAGCUCAACUCCGGAAUGGCAUUGGAAACUGGUUAACUUGAGUGCAGUAGAGGUAAGUGGAACUCCAUGUGUAGCGGUGGAAUGCGUAGAUAUAUGGAAGAACACCAGUGGCGAAGGCGGCUUACUGGACUGCAACUGACGUUGAGGCUCGAAAGUGUGGGUAGCAAACAGGAUUAGAUACCCUGGUAGUCCACACCGUAAACGAUGAACACUAGGUGUUAGGAGGUUUCCGCCUCUUAGUGCCGAAGCUAACGCAUUAAGUGUUCCGCCUGGGGAGUACGACCGCAAGGUUGAAACUCAAAGGAAUUGACGGGGACCCGCACAAGCGGUGGAGCAUGUGGUUUAAUUCGAAGCAACGCGAAGAACCUUACCAGGUCUUGACAUCCUUUGAAGCUUUUAGAGAUAGAAGUGUUCUCUUCGGAGACAAAGUGACAGGUGGUGCAUGGUCGUCGUCAGCUCGUGUCGUGAGAUGUUGGGUUAAGUCCCGCAACGAGCGCAACCCUUAUUGUUAGUUGCCAGCAUUCAGAUGGGCACUCUAGCGAGACUGCCGGUGACAAACCGGAGGAAGGCGGGGACGACGUCAGAUCAUCAUGCCCCUUAUGACCUGGGCUACACACGUGCUACAAUGGCGUAUACAACGAGUUGCCAGCCCGCGAGGGUGAGCUAAUCUCUUAAAGUACGUCUCAGUUCGGAUUGUAGUCUGCAACUCGACUACAUGAAGUCGGAAUCGCUAGUAAUCGCGGAUCAGCACGCCGCGGUGAAUACGUUCCCGGGUCUUGUACACACCGCCCGUCACACCAUGGGAGUUUGUAAUGCCCAAAGCCGGUGGCCUAACCUUUUAGGAAGGAGCCGUCUAAGGCAGGACAGAUGACUGGGGAAGU
rnacentral:rRNA from 1 species